rnacentral:rRNA from 1 species
UGUGGACGCCAGUCUGCAUGGAGCCGACCUUGAAAUACCACCCUUUAAUGUUUGAUGUUCUAACGUUGGCCCCUAAUCGGGGUUGCGGACAGUGUCUGGUGGGUAGUUUGACUGGGGCGGUCUCCUCCUAAAGAGUAACGGAGGAGCACGAAGGUUGGCUAAUCCUGGUCGGACAUCAGGAGGUUAGUGCAAUGGCAUAAGCCAGCUUGACUGCGAGCGUGACGGCGCGAGCAGGUGCGAAAGCAGGUCAUAGUGAUCCGGUGGUUCUGAAUGGAAGGGCCAUCGCUCAACGGAUAAAAGGUACUCCGGGGAUAACAGGCUGAUACCGCCCAAGAGUUCAUAUCGACGGCGGUGUUUGGCACCUCGAUGUCGGCUCAUCACAUCCUGGGGCUGAAGUAGGUCCCAAGGGUAUGGCUGUUCGCCAUUUAAAGUGGUACGCGAGCUGGGUUUAGAACGUCGUGAGACAGUUCGGUCCCUAUCUGCCGUGGGCGCUGGAGAACUGAGGGGGGCUGCUCCUAGUACGAGAGGACCGGAGUGGACGCAUCACUGGUGUUCGGGUUGUCAUGCCAAUGGCACUGCCCGGUAGCUAAAUGCGGAAGAGAUAAGUGCUGAAAGCAUCUAAGCACGAAACUUGCCCCGAGAUGAGUUCUCCCUGACUCCCUGAG